ACGAAAUGCAUGCAUGUAGCAUUGUGCCUGAAUAAAUGAAUGAGUGAAUCAAUGAAUGGGAGGGAGAGUGAAUGCUGAGUGGGAGUCUUGGCUGUGAGGCGAGUAGGGGCAAUUCUGAUUGAGGCAUAGCCCUCUGGGGUGUUAGUGUCCAGCACCUGAGCAGAAAAAACAUGGUGGCCUGUCAAUGGGGUGUGGUUCACUGCCCCCAGGGGUGCUUGUAUGUAGGUUAGACUCAGAGUCCGGGGAGUGGCAGAGGACUCAAAAAAGACUCUCUCUGUGGGAAGACCACAUUACCACUCUGCUGGGGCAACAGCAGACAUUUCAUUCCUUGUUUUGUAGGGAUGUCAUGUGGGACAUGGGUCAGUCAAGCAAGACAGAAGUCUGGGGAUGAAGAUCGCAUACAGAGAGACAUCAAGGCCGUGGGAUCCCUGGAAGCGUUUCUGAGAGGCCGUUGUUGUCUCAAUGUUCAGAGUUCGCCACACUUCCUGCGGAGCCAUGAGGAAGGGCCAAGAAACACAGCUGUUAACUUGAAAAGGAAAUCUGAAUUCAAAAAGCAAGGAAUGGUCACACCAUCCGGGAGAGAUUAGAAGAAUCUCCAUGAGAAAGGGAGCACAGACCCUGCCAGGCACCCAACCUUCUGCCUUCAAUUCAAAAUUCUGCAGACCUUCUUGGCCUUUCAGCUAAGAUCAAGUGCAAAAUUCUGCAGCCGGUGCUCCUUUCUCAAGAUCUCUUUCCACACGUGUUCCAAGAGAAAGACGGCUGUGAGGCAGCAUGCAGAGCCUCUCAGAAUGUCCAAGACCUUCAAUACUAUUUGUUUCUUGACUUUUGGGUCCAGGGAUGGGUGGGAAAGCACUCCAGAAGGCCAGAAGGCGGGAGCUACAGCCUGGCUCCCCACGGUUCCUGUCUUCCCGCCUCGUUCCUCUGCACUGGCCAGCUGUGCAGGCAAGCCUGGAGCACAAACGAAGUUGAUUUGAAAGAGUACUUAAUUCAUAAAAACGUAACAUGCAUCAUUUUGUCGACAGGCUCACCUGCCCUUGGCAUAGAGGCGUAGGUCACCGGAGUCAGUUUCGAUCAAGGGGGAAAAAAUACUGUAGGCCAGCAUCAGAGAGUGUGAUAUCUUGUAGGAUCAUCUUUCAUACGGGCAAACAUCCCAAAUUACUGCUUAUGUAAUGAAACAUCAUAAUAAACCAUUGUAUUAAACACCA
rnacentral:lncRNA from 1 species